rnacentral:misc_RNA from 1 species
UUUAUCUAACCAAACUGAGGCGCUAUUUAACAAAAAAUACCAGUAGCGUUUUCGAGUAUAUUACAAUCUAAUCAAUCAAAAGCAUGGAAAAUCAAUAGGCUGAAAACUUUUUGUUUAACAAGUAUGCUUUGAAGUAUAGUUCCUCAGUUUUCCUCGUCUGUGGGGGCUCGUAUUCACUUCUUCGCAGUUGUGUUAUCUUUUGGUGAAUCUUCCUCUGAUGACUCUGGAAGAGCUGUCAGCUUACCAAAUGACUCCUUAGCGUCUCCGAAGAAAUCCUUCACCUUAUCAACAACUGUUUUAAGCUUAUCUGGUGUCGGAAGCUCAAUCACAUCUGAGGUCGAAAGGGCAGCUCUCAAAUUGUUAUUCUCGACAAGUUUGUAUCCAUAUCUAAAUUCUGUGGCAGACUUCAAUACACGAUGCUGUUUCAUUGCCAAUUUCUUUAUUUCCUUCUCGUCAUUGUAAAUCACUGCUGCGAGAUUCCUAGCUAGAGUAUCUUUGUAUAUAUAUUUCCCAAGAAAGUUGUCUUUUGCAGCAACCAUAAUUUUUGCAGUUGUGCCACCUG